GAUGAACGCUGGCGGCGUGCCUAAUACAUGCAAGUCGAGCGAACAGAUGAGGAGCUUGCUCCUCUGACGUUAGCGGCGGACGGGUGAGUAACACGUGGAUAACCUACCUAUAAGACUGGGAUAACUUCGGGAAACCGGAGCUAAUACCGGAUAAUAUAUUGAACCGCAUGGUUCAAUAGUGAAAGACGGUUUUGCUGUCACUUAUAGAUGGAUCCGCGCCGCAUUAGCUAGUUGUUAAGGUAACGGCUUACCAAGGCAACGAUGCGUAGCCGACCUGAGAGGGUGAUCGGCCACACUGGAACUGAGACACGGUCCAGACUCCUACGGGAGGCAGCAGUAGGGAAUCUUCCGCAAUGGGCGAAAGCCUGACGGAGCAACGCCGCGUGAGUGAUGAAGGUCUUCGGAUCGUAAAACUCUGUUAUUAGGGAAGAACAAAUGUGUAAGUAACUAUGCACGUCUUGACGGUACCUAAGCAGAAAGCCACGGCUAACUACGU
rnacentral:rRNA from 1 species